GUGGCUUGUGAGGAAAAACCCUAAACUGAACUUUUUCCCUUUAGUCAGCAUUAGGGUUUUAAACCCUAAACUGAACUCUUUCCUUUAGUCAGCAUUAGGGUUUUAAACCCUAAACUAAACUUUUUCCUAUUCAGUCAGCAUUAGGGUUUUAAACCCUAAACUGAACUUUUUACAUUCAGUCAGCAUUAGGCUUUUAAACCCUAAACUGAACUCUUUCCAGCCAGUCAGUAUUAGGGUUUUAAACCCUAAACUGAACUUUCCCUUUAGUCAGCAUUACGCUUUUUAACUCUA
rnacentral:lncRNA from 1 species